rnacentral:lncRNA from 1 species
AUGCAGGGGGAGCUCUUCUCAUACAUGCUUCAGGUGUACAAAGAGAAGGAGGAAGCAGUGAGACGCACCAAGCAGGUGGCCUUCAGUUUGCCGGCUUUGAUGAGGAAUUGUGAUCAAGGCGUUCCCAUCGUCAACAUCCGGUGUGCUGACGACGGCGCGGCGGUGACAGUGAGAGAAGACGGGUUUAUUUGUCUCUGGAAUCCUGAACUUAAACCGCAGAAGACCAAAUACAUGUUUGGCGAGGGACCGGCUAACAGGAAGGCAAAGUGGGUCAGUGAUUUUGCUCUGAUGCCAGAACACAACAAGCUAAUAAUGGGAACGGGCGACAGAGAGGUUCAGAUGUAUGAUCUCUUCACUCUGGAACCAUACUGUCAGAUCAGCUGCCUGAGCACCAUCCCUUUGACUCUGGACUACAGCUGCACUGGCUCUGAUGAAUGUUGUCUUCUGUAUGGAGACACUGAGGGCUGUGUGACCAUCCUUUUAAUCUCCUCUGUUGACGACACCCUCAGAAAAUGGAGCAAAUUGCCGAUGAUUGAGAACAUACCCAACAUUUCCAUUGAACACGCAGUGCUGGCUCAACAUGUGACUUUUGUCAGGUGGAAGGUUCAUCAUGACUGGGUGACACAGGUAAUGUGUUCAUCAUGUCAAAACAAAUACACUUAUGAGAGACAGCUUUGA